GCUGUAGUGCAUCGUUUUGAUUUAUUCUUGAACCAGUGAGUUCACCUUGAUGUUCUUAACAACUCACCAGAAGGAAUAGAGGCCUGAAAUUGAAGUUUUUACGUCGAAAUCUUGGCUCGCCGGUUUCUGCAUUUCUUCGCCGGUUUCUGGAAAAUUUCCGGCCACCUUCAACUGUUCUAGGUGAUUGACGGUUUUUACUGGGCGAGCGAGUUUGGUGUGAUUGUGUUAUUUUGAAGACGCAGCGGGAUUAUCGAGCGGGAAAUCCUGCAGGUCAGGAGAACCAAGACGGUGAUCGGGCUGCUUAGAGUGGUAGCACUUGAGUUACAACAUUUUGUGAGGUUGUUAUGCUCAUUGAGCUUACAUGUAAUUUUGGGGAGAGUGCGAGGUGUGUUUAUUUGUGA
rnacentral:lncRNA from 1 species